AUGGGGAUGCUGGGCGUGCAUGGCAAGCUUUUCUGGUUCCUGGUGGCGGCCCGUCUGAUCUACCGCGUCGCAGCUCCGGGCAAUUAUGUCUCGUGGCUGCGGUGCUCCUCUUCCGGCCGUGUCUCUGAUGGGGACAUCGCCCUUCCUCACCUUGUACAUGUCGUCGUGCAGCGGUACUUCAUCUCACUCAUUGAUGGCGGCGGAGAUCGGCGGCAUGGCGCUGUGGAGGCUCGGCGUCCGAUGCACGGAGAUGGACUCGCGCAGGAGGAGGUAGCUGUCUGGCGUCAUGAUGACGUUGAUGGCAAAGUGGCCUAG
rnacentral:rRNA from 1 species